CCUACGGGUGGCAGCAGUGGGGGAUAUUGCACAAUGGGGGAAACCCUGAUGCAGCGACGCCGCGUGGGUGAAGAAGUCUUUCGGUAUGUAAAGCCCUAUCAGCAGGGAAGAAAGACGACGGUACCUGACUCAGACGCCCCGGCUAACUACGUGCCAGCAGCCGCGGUAAUACGUAGGGGGCAAGCGUUAUCCGGAUUUACUGGGUGUAAAGGGAGCGUAGACGGUGCAGCAAGUCUGAUGUGAAAGGUCGGGGCCCAACCCCGGGACUGCAUUGGAAACUGUUGAACUGUAGUACAGGAGAGGUAAGCGGAAUUCCUAGUGUAGCGGUGAAAUGCGUAGAUAUUAGGAGGAACACCAGUGGCGAAGGCGGCUUACUGGACUGUAACUGACGUUGAGGCUCGAAAGCGUGGGGAGCAAACAGGAUUAGAUACCCGGGUAGUC
rnacentral:rRNA from 1 species